UACGUAGGGUGCAAGCGUUGUCCGGAAUUAUUGGGCGUAAAGAGCUCGUAGGCGGCUUGUUGCGUCGGCUGUGAAAACCUGGGGCUCAACCCCGGGCUUGCAGCCGAUACGGGCAAGCUAGAGUUCGGUAGGGGAGACUGGAAUUCCUGGUGUAGCGGUGAAAUGCGCAGAUAUCAGGAGGAACACCGGUGGCGAAGGCGGGUCUCUGGGCCGAUACUGACGCUGAGGAGCGAAAGCGUGGGGAGCGAACAGG
rnacentral:rRNA from 1 species